UACUGUGACUUACUUUAAAAGAUAGUGAGAUCGAACAAAGAAGACCGAGGUGGCUUCGCGCAGCAGUUUGACUCAAUCACCUACUGUCGUCCACUGUUUAUCUGUGUGACGUAUCAGAAUGGGUGGAAGUAGUCGAACGUCGUUGUAAGGAUGCUCGGUACAAACCUCUUAAUGUGUUCAUUCUUAGACCCCGGAUUGACGCACUUAAUGAGCACUAUCUUUUUCUAUUGCUAGAGUUAGGGACAGGAAGACGAGGCGGUAAUCGGCCUUUUGAUUCCAGGGUUGUGACAGACAUAAAUUGUUCACACUUGGUAUACAGAAUAUCAUUUUACUGGGAAAAGGAUAUGGAUAAGGACAAGAUCAGCAGAAGAAGAAAUGAAAUAAUGUAUCAUCCUACCACGGAUCCAUAUCUUUUGAUGAGAAAGAUUCUAGACAGUGUUACACUAUAUUUUACAUAUAAAAUAGCAGGAAAAAUAUCCAUGCAAGUUUCUAUAAGUUACAAAAUUAUAAUCCGAACCAAUUGUCACCGUACAAGAUUGACAAACCAUUUCUAAAAAAAACAUUGGGCUUUUGCAAUGAAAAUAUGACUGGAUACACAAAAUACAUAUGCAUUUUCAGAAAUCUGUGUAUGUACACAUUGUGACAAGACUCAAACCUAUGAAAAAAACUUCCCUCUAAGUGAAUAACAAAUACGGAAGUUAUUUUUAAAACUACCAUAGCUUAAUAUGCCUUUGUUGAUACAGAACAGUUACUGUAGUCUGCUAAGGUAUGAAUAUUUUGAGAUCGAUGUUUCUUGCAUGCAUGAUAAAAGUUCGAUGUAUCUUAUUGUGCAAAUCACUAACAUUAACAAACAGAUGAACGGUACAUGUAGACUUUGAUGAAUUGAAUAAAUACU